UAUCCUCAAGGAAGACGGUAAACCCUCAAAUCCAAAUUAUGUUUGCUUAUCUGAUUUCUCUUUCUGAAAACAUAGUGAAUUAGCCACCGAUUCUGCAAUCUUUGAUUAUUGAUCAUCUUAGCAUCUAAGCACGAGAAGAGGCUGAAAAGGCCAAAGAAGGUGAUGGAUCCACAACACUUUCAAUGAGUGGAAGAUGAUUUGGUUAAAUGGGA